CGGUAAUUUUAGCCAAACAUGGCCGUUUGUUUUGCUUUGCUCGUCUUGACGCUUCGCUUGUCUAAUCUCUGGAACUGCAGCUUCCCUCGCUGACUUGCCGUUGGCAAGCCCCGCUCCAAGCAUCUCCGCGCCUGCUUCUGCCGAAUCGCAGAGCCCCUCUCCCGCUUCCCCCCUCUCCCCUCUUCUCUCAUCAUUGAUUCGAUUUUCCUCGCCCCUGGAGCUUCAAAUUCAAGUGAAGGAGCCAGUUAAGGCUUGCCAAAACUAGCGGCGGCAUCGGCAAUGCUCUAGUUGGCCUUUCCUUCCCUCCCAGCUCGAGCAGCGCAGCGCGGCCCUCUUUAUCUCUCUCGGCAGUGGAGGCAGCGUCACCCUUCGCCUAAAUCACCACCACCAGCUCUGGAGCGCCGCGUCGCCGCUCCUCUACCAUUUCCUGGUAUAUUGGACCGGAACGGACUAACGGAGUGGAGUUCUGCUAUUGAUCAUUGUGAGUUCAUCCCCACUCCAAUCCAUCUGUCCAUGGUCCGUAUGAGCUCAUCUUCCUCGGCGUCUGGGGUCAAUCUGACAGAGCAAAUCGAGAAUGUUUUUGACCAACUGAUCAGCAAAAUUGAACAAGCGGAUCCAGAUUUUGACCCGCGGCCCUUUUUGAAACAAUUGAAUGUGUUAGGCCGCUAUGAACCAAUCAAGCGGAAUGUAUAUUUCACUAAGAGAUACAUUGAAGAUUAUGGCAUUUCUUGUCACUGUAAGCCUUCUCCUGGUUCAUCAGUUGUGUGUGGCAGAGACUGCUAUUGUAGCAUGCUUUUCUCUUGCUGUUCAUCACAAUGUGAAUGUGAUAUUGCGUGCACCAAUAAAUCAUUCCAGCACAGACCUCUUACGAAAACCAAAUUGAUUAAGACAGAGAAAUGUGGUCAUGGAUUGGUUGCUGAGGAUGAAAUAAAGAAAGGAGAAUUUGUUAUUGAGUAUGUUGGAGAAGUUAUUGAUGACAGAACAUGUGAGAAUAGGCUAUGGACAAUGAAAAGGCUGGAUGACACUGACUUCUACCUUUGUGAGGUCAGCAGUAAUAUGGUCAUUGAUGCAACAAACAAGGGAAACCUGUCCCGAUUUAUAAACCAUAGUUGUGAACCAAACACAGCGAUGCAGAAAUGGACUGUUGAUGGAGAGACCAGGGUUGGAAUUUUUGCACUUCGUGACAUAAAGAUAGGGGAGGAGCUGACAUAUGACUAUAAAUUUGUCCAGUUUGGAGCAGCUCAGGUUUGUCAUUGUGGAUCUUCAAAGUGCAGAAAAAUGCUAGGCACAACAAAGUAUUCAGGAAGCUCACAGAAUCAUCGUACCAAGAAGAAAAAGAGGAAAACAAGUUGUGAGAAUUGCAUACAGCAGUUUCUUCGUCUGUGGCAUCCACGACAAAAAAUGUAUGUUGGAUGUUGGAUAGUUGACUUCGAUCAAGGAACUAAAAUGCAUACUCUCCAGUUCAUUGAUCACCAUACUGAAAAGUUUGAUUUGAAAGAAGAAGAAUGGCACUUCUUGGAGGUUCUAAGGUGUCAAAGGAAAAUGAAUAAAUGGAUGAUGCUCAAUGAACAAGGUCGACUCUGAUGAAGAUUGAUCAUUGAAGUUUUAUUGCAUCCUUGUACAAGGAAUAGUCGUGCCAGAUGAUAUUGGCAUGAGGUGUGGUUAAGUCUCAACUUCCAAUUAUGUUGUGCAUCUUUGGAAAAUGUAAUCUGGCCAGUAACCUUUGGAGGAUGACCGACUUCGGUUGUCAUGGUUUGCUGCUCCGCCAGCUAGUUCGCGGUUCAUUUGCGGUCGCAGCAUAGACAGACGGAUGGCCAGUUCUCUCCCAUUUGGAGUCUACUGCAAGCCUGAAUUGUGGCAUUCGUGCAUGCCCUUGGGCAUCAUAAACUGUAACUGCUGCUUCCAGCUGCCAGACUGAAACUUGAGGCGGCAUGAUCGAAGUGAUUUGUCAUUUGUCCCCUGGGUAGCGGCAGGUUGAUGGACGCAUGCAUGCAUGCAUGAUAUAGGCCAAAAACUGCCGCUGUGUACUCGAAGCAGGCAACUGUACAAUACAACCCUGUGUAACUUGUAAACUAGAGGACUUGUUUGGAAGAAACCCUGUGCAACCCUGUGUAUUGUAGUACUAGUUUCACCGAAGGUGUUGUUUGGUAAUGAGAUAUACAGCAGUACCUCCAUGGGUGUGUGUUGUCUGUUCUCCAAAGAAAUGCUGUACUGGUGCUAGAGAAAGUGUGGAACUGAAGCACAGUUUGCUUUAGAAAUAGA